AAUUUCAGAUUUUAAGUUUUGGAUUUAUGGGCUUUAUUCAUAAAAAAAAGGGGGACUUUCAACACUUCGGACAAUAACUCAAAAAGGCUUUCACCAAUGUCCAUGAAACUUUGGUGAAUUGUUUAUAUCUAUUGAUGUAAGCUCCCUUUCAAUUUUUAUAAAUUUCAGAUUUUAAGUUUUGGAUUUAUGGGGCUUUAUUCAUAAAAAAAAGGGGGAUUUU
rnacentral:lncRNA from 1 species